rnacentral:rRNA from 1 species
GACGAACGCUGGCGGCGUGCUUAACACAUGCAAGUCGAACGGAAAGGCCCUGCUUUUGUGGGGUGCUCAAGUGGCGAACGGGUGAGUAACACGUGAGUAACCUGCCCUUGACUUUGGGAUAACUUCAGGAAACUGGGGCUAAUACCGGAUAGGAGCUCCUGCUGCAUGGUGGGGGUUGGAAAGUUUCGGCGGUUGGGGAUGGACUCGCGGCUUAUCAGCUUGUUGGUGGGGUAGUGGCUUACCAAGGCUUUGACGGGUAGCCGGCCUGAGGGGGUGACCGGCCACAUUGGGACUGAGAUACGGCCCAGACUCCUACGGGAGGCAGCAGUGGGGAAUAUUGCACAAUGGGCGGAAGCCUGAUGCAGCAACGCCGCGUGCGGGAUGACGGCCUUCGGGUUGUAAACCGCUUUCGCCUGUGACGAAGCGUGAGUGACGGUAAUGGGUAAAGAAGCACCGGCUAACUACGUG